UUUAAGGGGAAGUAAAAUAGCGCUGCGCUCAUCUCCCAGGUCAGCUUUAAGCGUAAGUUUUGCCGGCGUCUGGCUCCGAACCUACGGCGGACUGGUGGGGCUGGAUCCCGCUGCAUGGCCGCGCUGUGACCAUGUGCCAAAGUGGAAGCCACUCAAGCAGAAAGCACUGCUUAUAAGCUAGCAGCCGCAAGUGAAACAACUGAUACCGUUACAGAAAAUGGUUCAGCACAAAAGGUUUCCGUCCUGUUCGCCUCACACCGUACGGCAGAUGCGUUUCGUACGCUUACGUGAAUGGGAAAUGCCUGCCCCCUUUUUCUACGAGGUAAUGGCGCAGCAGACAGCUGUACCUUACAAACAGAAUGGGGAAACAAUAGGGAUCCAGGAACUACGCUGCCUGGACCCCCAAUAAAAAUAAAGCCACGGAGGAUGUCAGCCCGGAGCACCCCACGCCGCUACAGCCGCCUGCCCGCAAGCAGCUGGGAGACCCGCGAUUGGCGAUGCCUUCCCACAAAGACGGGAAGCGCGCACGGAAUCCAGCCCCCAAACAUCACUCCCUUCUCCCUUAAUGUGUCAAAAAAGUGUAUUUUCCUUUAUUCUAAUCAGUUCCGCUGUCGUGGCGUUAUUCUGUUUUACAUACGCUUUACAUUUAAACGAAUUUCUUUAAUGCAGUAUAAAACGCAGUUCUAUUCGGAUUUAGCACGUCGCAUGUACAAGGAGAUAAUCUCUUAUAGUAAUUAGUACCGGUAAGAGUAAACACUCGAUACAUACUUUUGUUAUAUAUAAUUAAAAUAUGUUUUCAUUAAAUAUCAUAAAAACUGACAAAAUAUAAUAAACAAAAGUAUAAUGCUGACAGAACAGAGAUAAAUUUCCCAGUAAUUAAUCUAAAAUGAAAAGUGGCUUUUCUUGUCACUUCGUAUGUAAUAUUUCAGGACACAUUUACUUGUCUGUUAGUGGCAUAUAUGUAUCUUAUUUUGUUCAAACUGGUUUAAAAUCCAAGACUUUUUGGCUUUCAAGGGAUAAGAUGUGUUUGGGUCUGGUGAAGGAGCUUUGCGAAGCAGCCGUAGUUCUUUCUGCAUCCUCUGGUGACAACACGACUGACUGACCUUUACCGUCGCGUAUGAGCGACAGACAAAAGCAAACGGGGUGAAGCGCUUUGUUUCCGCCAUACUGCAGUAUUACGAUGCUGGAAGGCAAUCUGGGGUUAAGCCAGCAUACUUUACCGUCUCCCUUGACUACUGAACGCUAACAGCAUUAUUUGUAAUAAGUCAUCGUUAACUUUUUCUGUAAACAAGACCAACCAUUUUUUUAAAACUUACAACAUACUAAACAAACCUUAACUUGUAUAGGAGUUGCACACAACUGACUAAAUAAUUGACUUGUCAGUUUUACUGAACUUAUACCUCCACAAGCUUUGUAGGGUGAUUUCAACACAAGGAACGAAAAGCAUGCUGUCCACAACUGCUAUGUCUGGUGUGCAAAGCCUCACUCGAUACAAGGUGGGAAAAGCUACGUGAAAAUGAAGUACUGACAUCACAUGUCCCAGGAAAUCCCAGCGGUAUUUUUAAUGACUUUUCUCAAUUACUGAUAGCCAGCUGUGAACUAUCCAUACUACUACCUUCACAUGGGCAUGACUACAAACUGACAAGACACUUCUAGUAAAUUCUCUCAUUCAAAAUUGUGCUCAGGGGGGCGGCAUGGUGGUGCAGUGGUUAGCACUGUCGCCUCACACCUCUGGGACCCGGGUUUGAGUCUCCGCCUGGGUUACAUGUGUGUGGAGUUUGCAUGUUCUCCCCAUGUCGUCGUAGGGUUUCUUCCGGGUACUCCGGUUUCCCCCCACAGUCCAAAAACAUGCUGAGGCUAAUUGGAGUUGCUAAAUUGCCCAUAGGUGUGCAUGCAUGAGUGAAUGGUGUGUGAGUGUGCCCUGUGAUGGGCUGGCCCCCCAUCCAGGGUUGUUCCCUGCCUCGUGCCCAUUGCUUCCGGGAUAGGCUCCGGACCCCCCGUGACCCAAUAGGAUAAGCGGUUUGGAAAAUGGAUGGAUGGAUGGAAAAUUGUGCUCAUGUGCACAUUAUAUACAUGUAUCUUGAGGCAACUGUAUUGGAAAGGAUGCUUUAAAAAAAGUUAAUUAAAAAUAUCAUUGUGAAAGUAAAGGGUGUCUCCAAUGUUACGUAAACAUUUUUUUUUUUUUUUACUUUAAGCCCAAGUGAAAAACCACAAAACACACUUAUUUGCAAACUUUAUUCACCUACAUUAUAUACAUAUGUAAAGCUAUAAAACAAAAUACAAAACAAUUAACCUUUCUCAGCCUACAAAGCUUUGCUCUAUGGGCUCUAGCGAAACGGGGCAGCAUAUUUUCUCCCCCAAACACAGCUGCAGCCACGUGGGACUCGUCCCAGACGGACUGCCGGAGAGCGCUGCCAGGUGCCGAAGGUCACAUCAUCACCAGCAUCCUCAGCAGCCACAGCGAUGGAGGCUCCAUGCCAACAUCAGAAGUUCAGAAAAUCAGCUUCUUCUUCAGGGAACCUGGGGAGGUUAAAAACAAAAAAAGUGAACUUCAAGUGGAAGAAAUCACUGGAAAAUGAAUCUGAUGCCUCAGUUCCUCAAAUAAAACCUGGGAGCCUCUGUUGCCAUUGUAUGCGUUUCUCUACAUAUUCCACUGAAAAUGUCUCCAUUCAUGGACUUUCACAUUUAAUUUGUUUAGCAGAUGCUGUUGUCCAGAACGACAUACAAGUGAGGCAAAAAGCACAUUACAAAUGUAUUUGAUAAUUGUUGGAAUACAAACACGCAACAUUUGUAGACUUACAUUCGCUACAGGUAAAAUGCCAAUACUUAAAGCAGUCAUAAUAAUGCAUUAAGGAUACCUUUUGUGAUAGAAAAUAAUGAUGAUUACGCAAAUGCAAUAUAAUCAGUAAUUAAUAAUGAAACAUACUGGUGCUGUUGAUUUACCUAUAAUGACUGAUACAAUAUAACCUCACUCGAAUCAGUCAAACGUAUCAAGCACAAUGUACUAAUGCAAGUUUGCUUAAGUAAGGGAUUUCUAUUUUCUGUUAAGGAACUAGCAUGUUUGCCAUAAUGAAGCUUGUUCAGUAAGGGGUCCGGGUCAAGGCAAAGGAGUGACCUGAGAAGUAAGCUGUUGCAGAAGAUAUUAUAAAUGCAUGUAUGUUAUUGGAUAAGGGAUAAUGUAGAAAAGAGAACGAGGGGCACAUGAGGAAAGUGAGAUGAAGUCACUGGAUAAAGUUAACUCCGAACAGGAGAAUGUAAUCAUUCUUUUGCGGUUUCAGAUAGGCUGUCUUGUUCUGAGCUGAUAAGCGAGCCUCAACAAGCAGAAGUAACUGGUGUCUACAGACAUCCGACCUUUCCUUGAACUGUCUGAAGACUGGCGAGUUUUUGGCUAUAAAAGAUGUAUGUACUUGUUGUUCUGAGAGCAGAGCAUGAGAUGCAUGACUGCUGAGUGCCUGUUCCCUUUGAGCUCAUUGACAAACUAAAGGUUGUCAAACUCUUAAA